UUGAACGCUGGCGGCAUGCCUUACACAUGCAAGUCGAACGGUAACGCGGGGCAACCUGGCGACGAGUGGCGAACGGGUGAGUAUCAUAUCGGAACGUGCCCAGUAGUGGGGGAUAGCCCGGCGAAAGCCGGAUUAAUACCGCAUACGACCUACGGGUGAAAGGGGGGGAUCGCAAGACCUCUCGCUAUUGGAGCGGCCGAUAUCAGAUUAGGUAGUUGGUGGGGUAAAGGCCCACCAAGCCGACGAUCUGUAGCUGGUCUGAGAGGACGACCAGCCACACUGGGACUGAGACACGGCCCAGACUCCUACGGGAGGCAGCAGUGGGGAAUUUUGGACAAUGGGCGCAAGCCUGAUCCAGCCAUGCCGCGUGAGUGAAGAAGGCCUUCGGGUUGUAAAGCUCUUUCAGGCGGAAAGAAAUCGGGCGCGUGAAUAGCGUGCCUGGAUGACGGUACUGUCAGAAGAAGCACCGGCUAACUACGU
rnacentral:rRNA from 1 species